rnacentral:tRNA from 1 species
GUGGCUCAGUGGUAGAGUGCUUGCUUAGCAUGCAUGAAGCCCUGGGUUCGAUUCCUCAGC